rnacentral:rRNA from 1 species
CGGCGGACGGGUGAGUAACGCGUGGGUAACCUGCCUCAUACAGGGGGAUAACAGUUGGAAACGGCUGCUAAUACCGCAUAAGCGCACAGUACCGCAUGGUACGGUGUGAAAAACUCCGGUGGUAUGAGAUGGACCCGCGUCUGGUUAGGUAGUUGGUGGGGUAACGGCCUACCAAGCCGACGAUCAGUAGCCGACCUGAGAGGGUGACCGGCCACAUUGGGACUGAGACACGGCCCAA